rnacentral:rRNA from 1 species
CUAAGAAUCUUCCGCAAUGGACGCAAGUCUGACGGAGCGAUGCCGCGUGGAUGAAGAAUGCAGAGAUGUUGUAAAAUCCUUUUAUGAGUGAGGAAUAAUAUUACUAGGAAAUGAGUAGUAGAUGACGUUAGCUUAUGAAUAAGCUCCGGCCAAUUACGUGCCAGCAGCCGCGGUAACACGUAAGGAGCGAGCGUUGUUCGGAAUUAUUGGGCGUAAAGGGCGUGUAGGCGGUUAAUUAAGUCUUUUUUGAAAUACCGAUGCUCAACAUCGGAAACGGAGAGGAAACUGAUUAACUAGAAUCCGGUAGGGAAAUGUGGAAUUUCUAGUGUAGGGGUGAAAUCUGUUGAUAUUAGAAAGAACACCAAUGGCGAAGGCAACAUUUUGGGCCUGGAUUGACGCUGAGGCGCGAAAGCAUAGGGAGCAAACA